rnacentral:tRNA from 1 species
UGCUCUUAUCGACUAAUCGGUUAGGUCACCAGACUUUCACUCUGGAAAUAUGGGUUCGAGUCCCUUUAAGAGUACCAG